rnacentral:rRNA from 1 species
GACAGAGGGUGCAAACGUGUUCGGAAUUACUGGGCGUAAAGCGCGUGUAGGCGGCCAACUAAGUCGGGCGUGAAAUCCCACGGCUCAACCGUGGAAGUGCACUCGAAACUGGAUGGCUAGAGCCUGGAGAGGAAGGUGGAAUGCUUGGUGUAGAGGUGAAAUUCGUAGAUAUCAAGCGGAACACCGGUGGCGAAGGCGGCCUUCUGGACAGUGACUGACGCUGAGACGCGAAAAGCGUGGGGAGCAAACAGG